rnacentral:miRNA from 1 species
UGCACAUUUCUGGCCUCACCCCAGACCUAACCUAUUGAAUUAAAAUAUCAGGAACUGGGGUCCAGGAAUCUGCAUUUUAAA